CCCCUCUCGGGUUCGCACCUGGAGAGUUUCCAGUAGUCUACCAGUCUCGGCUAUGGGAGAGAGAGUCGAGCAGAGGCCUGUCCAUUCCAUUCCUAGCUUGGCCAGUGGCUAGCGAGUGGAAGGCAAUCCGCUACUAGU
rnacentral:snoRNA from 1 species